rnacentral:misc_RNA from 1 species
AACGCACAUUGCGCCCUGUGGCAUUCCGCAGGGCAUGCCUGUUCGAGCGUCAUUUCAACCCUCAAGCCCCGCUUGGUGUUGGGCCCCGCCCGCUGCGGCCGGCCCCAAAGUCAGUGGCGGCACCGUACGGUCCUGAGCGUAGUAACACUCUCGCUCCCGGGCCCUGCGGCCGCGCGCCAGAACCCCAACUCCUACGGUUGACCUCGGAUCAGGUAGGGAUACCCGCUGAACUUAA